UACGUAGGGGGCAAGCGUUGUCCGGAUUUAUUGGGCGUAAAGCGCUCGCAGGUGGUUCGUCGCGUCGUGCGUGAAAGCCCCCGGCUCAACUGGGGAGGGUCACGCGAUACUGAUCGACUGGAAGGCAGGAGAGGGUAGUGGAAUUCCCGGUGUAGUGGUGAAAUGCGUAGAUAUCGGGAGGAACACCAGUGGCGAAGGCGACUACCUGGCCUGUUCUUGACGCUGAGGCGCGAAAGCUAGGGGAGCAAACGGG
rnacentral:rRNA from 1 species